UACGGAGGAGGCAAGCGUUAUCCGGAAUUAUUGGGCGUAAAGCGUCCGUAGGUGGCUCUUCAAGUCUGCUGUCAAAGAGUGGGGCUUAACCCUGCAAAGGCAGUGGAAACUGAAAGGCUAGAGAGCCGUAGGUGUAGAGGGAAUUCCCGGUGUAGCGGUGAAAUGCGUAGAUAUCGGGAAGAACACCAGUGGCGAAAGCGCUCUACUGGGCCAUAACUGACACUGAGGGACGAAAGCUAGGGGAGCGAAAGGG
rnacentral:rRNA from 1 species